rnacentral:tRNA from 1 species
ACCUUGGUAGCUUACACUUGAGAGCACAGCACUGAAGAUGCUGAGGAGGCGGAUACACUCGCCUCAGGGUA